rnacentral:rRNA from 1 species
GGAGGAUCAUUAUCGUAGGGCUUCGGCCCUGUCGAGAUAGAACCCUUGCCUUUUUGAGUACCUUUCGUUUCCUCGGCAGGCUCGCCUGCCAAUGGGGACCACAAAAAACACUUUGCAGUACCUGUAACAGUCUGAACAAACAAAACAAAAAUUAAAACUUUCAACAACGGAUCUUUUGGUUCUGGCAUCGAUGAAGAACGCAGCGAAAUGCGAUAAGUAGUGUGAAUUGCAGAAUUCAGUGAAUCAUCGAAUCUUUGAACGCACAUUGCGCCCUUUGGUAUUCCUUAGGGCAUGCCUGUUCGAGCGUCAUUUAAACCUUCAAGCUAAGCUUGGUGUUGGGUGACUGUCCGCUUCACUGCGGACUCGCCUCAAAAUUAUUGGCGGCCGGUACAUUGGCUUCGAGCGCAGCAGAAACGCGAACUCGGGCCCGUCGUAUUGGCUCCCAGAAGCUAUCUUCACAAUUUUGACCUCGGAUCAGGUAGGGAUACCCGCUGAACUUAAGCAUAUCAAUAAGCGGAGGA